UUUAUCUUUCUACAUACAUUUUGUAAGUAUUACUUUAAUUUGAAUGAAUGAAGUUAUAUUUUUGGUUUGAACAUUAGUAGGAACUUCCAAUUACGUUAUCAGAAUUAGAAAAUUACCAAUCACCUUUUCAGAAUAACCAAAUAGUCGAACUCUAAGUUAGAAAAGUCUGUUUUCAAAGUUGUAAACAAAUGUCACCUAAGUAGUUUACCUUAACUUGGCGACAAACAGAUUCCACAUAGAAAUAAUUUCAUAGAGUGGCGUGAAGUACAAACAACUACACGUGUGUCUUCAUCUUUGAAAUAGUUGAUAAUGUAAGGGGAAAUUGAAAUGGAAAACAAAUACAAGUAAUGAAUAACAAAAGUUUGUCUAAAGAUGACGUUUGAAGGGCAAAAAGGUAUAAAAGCAGCAUCUUACCGAAUCUCAUUGGGAGCCUUCGGUUUCAUCCCCUCCGGUUCUCGUUGAUGUAUAAUCAAAAAAAAUGAGAGGUGUAGAAUAAACUAAAGUAAGGCAUUAAUUAGGGAAGGAGGUAAUGUUAAACCGG
rnacentral:misc_RNA from 1 species